UUCAAAACAGCAACCCAUGCAUGUACUCUUACUCGAAACCGAAUCCAAAAUAGCCGGCAACCAAAGGGAAGAAUUAAACCCUUGAAAUCAAACCCCAGAAAUCAAACCCAUUUCUCUACUAAGAUCCUCACUACAAUUUGGAUAUCGAUUUGGAAAAUUAGGGCUUCGAUACAAUGUUCUUUAGGGUUCGGUUCUAAUGGUGGACUGAGGUUUACUCGUUGCUGCUUUGGAAUUUCUUUCCCCAAAACGAUUUCAGUCUGUCUUGACCAUCAACCACCAUUAUCUCUCUUUGUCGGACUGCUACUUCGCCGGUCGACGUUAUCAAGAGCUGAUUCCAGG